UACGUAGGGACCAAGCGUUGUCCGGAAUCAUUGGGCGUAAAGAGCGUGUAGGCGGCUUGUUAAGUCUUGCGUGAAAUCUCGGGGCUCAACCCCGAGCGGUCGUGAGAAACUGGCAGGCUAGAGUCCGGAAGAGGAGAGUGGAAUUCCCAGUGUAGCGGUGAAAUGCGUAGAUAUUGGGAGGAACACCAGUGGCGAAGGCGGCUCACUGGACCGGUACUGACGCUGAGGCGCGAAAGCGUGGGGAGCAAACGGG
rnacentral:rRNA from 1 species